GCAGUAGCCACGGUAAUACAGAGGGUGCAAGCGUUAAUCGGAAUUACUGGGCGUAAAGCGCGCGUAGGUGGUUUGUUAAGUUGGAUGUGAAAUCCCCGGGCUCAACCUGGGAACUGCAUUCAAAACUGACUGACUAGAGUAUGGUAGAGGGUGGUGGAAUUUCCUGUGUAGCGGUGAAAUGCGUAGAUAUAGGAAGGAACACCAGUGGCGAAGGCGACCACCUGGACUAAUACUGACACUGAGGUGCGAAAGCGUGGGGAGCAAACAGGAUUAGAUACCCCUGUAGUCCCUGUCUCUUAUAC
rnacentral:rRNA from 1 species